rnacentral:rRNA from 1 species
CAAUUCUAACAGCAUAAGAGAGGUAGUGACGAGAAAUAACAGUACAAGGCAGUUAAAAUGCUUUGUAAUUGGAAUGAUAGAAAUUUAAAUACUUUUUAAAGUAUCAAUUGGAGGGCAAGUCUGGUGCCAGCAGCCGCGGUAAUUCCAGCUCCAAUAGCGUAUAUUAAAAUUGUUGCAGUUAAAAAGCUCGUAGUUGAAUUUCUGCUAGAAAUAACCGGUUUGCUUUUAUUAAUAAAAGUGGUAUCUUGGUGUGUUUCCAGCAAUAAUGUUCUUUGAAAUGUUUUUUACUUUAUUGUAAAAAGCAAAAUUCAGGAUUUUUACUUUGAGAAAAUUAGAGUGUUUCAAGCAAGCUAACGUUUUGAAUACUGCAGCAUGGAAUAAUAAAAUAUGAUUUUAGUUUUACGUUAUUGGUUUUAAGAACUAAAAUAAUGAUUGAUAGGGGCAGUUGGGGGCAUUUGUAUUUAACUGUCAGGGGUGAAAUUCUUAGAUUUGUUAAAGACAUACUACUGCGAAAGCAUUUGCCAAAGAUGUUUUCAUUAAUCAAGAACGAAAGUUAGGGGAUCGAAGACGAUCAGAUACCGUCGUAGUCUUAA